GAUGAACGCUUGCUACAGGCUUAACACAUGCAAGUCGAGGGGAAACGACAUCGAAAGCUUGCUUUUGAUGGGCGUCGACCGGCGCACGGGUGAGUAACGCGUAUCCAACCUGCCCAUCACUUGGGGAUAACCUUGCGAAAGUAAGACUAAUACCCAAUGAUAUCUCUAGAAGACAUCUGAAAGAGAUUAAAGAUUUAUCGGUGAUGGAUGGGGAUGCGUCUGAUUAGCUUGUUGGCGGGGUAACGGCCCACCAAGGCAACGAUCAGUAGGGGUUCUGAGAGGAAGGUCCCCCACAUUGGAACUGAGACACGGUCCAAACUCCUACGGGAGGCAGCAGUGAGGAAUAUUGGUCAAUGGGCGAGAGCCUGAACCAGCCAAGUAGCGUGCAGGAAGACGGCCCUAUGGGUUGUAAACUGCUUUUAUAAGGGAAUAAAGUGAGAGUCGUGACUCUUUUUGUAUGUACCUUAUGAAUAAGGACCGGCUAAUUCCGUG
rnacentral:rRNA from 1 species